rnacentral:lncRNA from 1 species
CCAGCAACAGCAACAGCAACAGUGGGCUCAGCAGCAGCCACAUCAGUAUCAACAACAAUGGAUGUCUAUGCAGUAUCCAGCUACUGCUAUGGCUAUGAUGCAACAGCAGAUGAUGAUGUAUCCUCAGCAUUAUAUGCCGUAUGUACAUCCUCAUCAUUAUCAGCAGCAGCCACCUCAUCAACAACAAGUGUCGCCGCCGCCAUCGGCGCAUAGUCAUCAUGGCGGCCAUCAACAGCAUCAGUAUCAGCAGCAUCAGCAGAAGCAGCUGGCACCUGAAGAGAUCAGGACGAUCUGGCUUGGUGACCUUCAUCAUUGGAUGGAUG